rnacentral:rRNA from 1 species
UACGGGGGGGGGUAAGCGUUGUUCGGAAUUACUGGGCGUAAAGGGCUCGUAGGCGGCCAACUAAGUCGGACGUGAAAUCCCUCAGCUUAACUGGGGAACUGCGUCCGAUACUGGAUGGCUUGGAUUUGGGAGAGGGAUGCGGAAUUCCAGGUGUAGCGGUGAAAUGCGUAGAUAUCCGGAGGAACACCGGUGGCGAAGGCGGCAUUCUGGACCGAUAUUGACGCUGAGGAGCGAAAGCCAGGGGAGCAAACGGG